rnacentral:rRNA from 1 species
UAAAGGAAGCGAUUCCGGCUACGGAUGGUCAUGCGUCGCAUUAGCUAGUUGGCGGGGUAACGGCCCACCAAGGCGACGAUGCGUAGGGGUUCUGAGAGGAGGGUCCCCCACACUGGUACUGAGACACGGACCAGACUCCUACGGGAGGCAGCAGUGAGGAAUAUUGGUCAAUGGCCGCAGGGCUGAACCAGCCAAGUCGCGUGAGGGAUGACGGUCCUAUGGAUUGUAAACCUCUUUUGUCAGGGAGCAAAGGGCGCCACGUGUGGCGCUUUGCGAGUACCUGAAGAAAAAGCAUCGGCUAACUCCGUGCCAGCAGCCGCGGUAAUACGGAGGAUGCGAGCGUUAUCCGGAUUUAUUGGGUUUAAAGGGUGCGCAGGCGGAAUGUCAAGUCAGCGGUAAAAUUUCGGGGCUCAACCCCGUCGUGCCGUUGAAACUGGCGUUCUUGAGUGAGCGAGAAGUAUGCGGAAUGCGUGGUGUAGCGGUGAAAUGCAUAGAUAUCACGCAGAACUCCGAUUGCGAAGGCAGCAUACCGGCGCUCAACUGACGCUCAUGCACGAAAGCGUGGGUAUCGAACAGGAUUAGAUACCCUGGUAGUCCACGCAGUAAACGAUGAAUACUAACUGUCCGGGCAGAAUGAUGCCUGG